GCCCGGAUGGCGGAAUUGGUAGACGCGCUGGACUCAAAAUCCAGUGAUAGCAAUAUCGUGAGAGUUCGAGUCUCUCUCUGGGCA
rnacentral:tRNA from 1 species